GAUAUGAGUAUAUUAACAAGGCGGAAUGGCUCUGUGGUCCGACCAGGAACUGAGACGCCUGAGUUACUGCUAGUUUCUCGCUUCACUACAGCUGUGUAAACAGAGAAGGACUCUUCAGAACGAAGAGGAGGCAUAUGCAGCACAGCAAUACCCAUUACACGUUGUUUUGACAGAUUCCAGUUUGGAGGUCACACCUCGACUGUUUUACUAAUGUAUUGAUGCAACGCCGCUGGAGCUUAAACAACGCCAUUAUUCAGUUCCGUUUUCAUCAGUAAAGCCUGAAUCACUUUUCCUCUCCGCCUUGCGAGCGAUGUCAGGAAGCAGCUCUGAGUGUCCGACAUCCUCACAAUCUCUGCUGAACAACUGCGGUGAAGUAUUGACACGGGAGCGGCGCAGUGAGGCCGGCGCAGGAGACAAGAGUGGGGGAGGUUUUGCAAGGCCGGGAUCGGAACCUUGGCGCUCAGGAUGGAGACACCGUCAGACCAACGAAACUAUUCCAUGGUUUCCUUCAGGAAACUAAAGGGUUUGAAUCCUGCCUUGCUUUAUCAUGUAUUCAGUUUAAUACAUUAAUAUGGUGGACCCUGCAAGCCUUUUUGUCCUCCUUGGAGCUCAAAGAUAUUUUCCCCACUUCAUCCAAGAUACUUUGACAAUCUCGGAGACACUUGUGGCGUCACUUCAUCAAGUCAACAUGCUUUACAAAGGUGGUAGUGUGUGGUUAAUGUACGCUGAAAUGAGUC